UCCACGGGGAUUGCUUAGUACGGCGAGUGAAGCGGCAAAAGCUCAAUUUGAAAACGCUUCGGCGUGUUGUAAGUAAAGUGGUUAGACGCUUUUUAAUAAGUCCCUUGGAACAGGGCGCCAUAGAGGGUGAUAGCCCCGUAUUAAAUUGUCUAGUGUGCUACUUUAGAGCGAGUCGAGUUGUUUGGGAAUGCAGCUCAAAUAGGUGGUAAACUCCAUCUAAAGCUAAAUAUUGCUGGGAGACCGAUAGCGAACAAGUACAGUGAUGGAAAGAUGAAAAGCACUUUGAAAAGAGAGUGAAAUAGCGUGUGAAAUUGUUGGAGGGGAAGGCGAUGGUAGGAAUAAGAGGCUGCGGUUUGAAAUAAUUGUUUUUCGGGCCACGGUCUCCUGAGCCUGCUUUCGCACCCGUCUUGAAAAACGGACCAA
rnacentral:rRNA from 1 species